rnacentral:rRNA from 1 species
GACGAACGCUGGCGGCGUGCUUAACACAUGCAAGUCGAACGGAAAGGCCCUGCUUUUGUGGGGUGCUCGAGUGGCGAACGGGUGAGUAACACGUGAGUAACCUGCCCUUGACUUUGGGAUAACUUCAGGAAACUGGGGCUAAUACCGGAUAGGAGCUCCUGCUGCAUGGUGGGGGUUGGAAAGUUUCGGCGGUUGGGGAUGGACUCGCGGCUUAUCAGCUUGUUUGUGGGGUAGUGGCUUACCAAGGCUUUGACGGGUAGCCGGCCUGAGAGGGUGACCGGCCACAUUGGGACUGAGAGACGGAGCAGACGCCUACGGGAGGCAGCAGUGGGGAAUAUUGCAGAAUGGGCGGAAGCCUGAUGCAGCAACGCCGCGUGCGGGAUGACGGGCUUCGGGUUGUAAACCGCUUUCGCCUGUGACGAAGAGUGAGUGACGGUAAUGGGUAAAGAAGCACCGGCUAACUACGUG